CACGUAGUUAGCCGUGGCUUCCUCCUCAGGUACCGUCACUAUCGUCCCUGAAGACAGAGCUUUACAACCCGAAGGCCGUCAUCACUCACGCGGCGUUGCUGCAUCAGGGUUUCCCCCAUUGUGCAAUAUUCCCCACUGCUGCCUCCCGUAGGAGUCUGGGCCGUGUCUCAGUCCCAAUGUGGCCGAUCACCCUCUCAGGUCGGCUACGCAUCGUCGCCUUGGUGAGCCGUUACCUCACCAACUAGCUAAUGCGCCGCGGGCCCAUCUCAUAGCGGAUUGCUCCUUUAAUUGCUACUUCAUGCGAAGCUACAAUCUUAUGCGGUAUUAAUCUCCCUUUCGGAAGGCUAUUCCCCUCUAUGAGGCAGGUUGCCCACGUGUUACUCACCCGUCCGCCGCUAGCUUUUGUUCCGAAGAACUCCACUCGCUCGACUUGCAUGUGUUAGGCACGCCGCCAGCGUUCGUCCUGAGCCAGGACUACGAAACUCU
rnacentral:rRNA from 1 species